CAAUAAAACAAAUGCUUUUGUUUUAAAGAUGAUAUUUGCUAUUCAUAAGCCCCACACACUAUACACCACAAUUUUUUCUUUUGGUUUUAUUCUUCUUAAAACAAUUGAAUUCUUUUACUCAGUAUCCAUAUACCACACAUUUGAUAAGAAAAAAAAAUUAAAAAAAUAAUAAAAAAAGUGA